GAAGUCCGAGAGCAGCACUGAUCUGUGAGUAGAGAGGAGUGAGUGGGAAAUCAUUCCUUAACAGCUUUAAAAUCUAUUCUGCACCCAUGAAGGCUCAGCAAGUCUUUAUAUUUUUGUUGCUAUUUACUAUUGUUUUAUAGAAAUAAUAUUCAAGUACAUGCAUAUAUUGUAAAACUCAAACAGUAGAAAAGUGUAGACAAUCCAACCAAUGGCUGAGGUUGCAUUUCCCUCCUGCUCUCCCGCAACCACUGAGAAACUAUGAUUACAGCUCUGACGAGAUCCUUGGGACUCGGACAUUACCUCAGAAUACUAUUAACCCUGAGAAGGAAUCACAUCUCCUGAAGAAAUGGCUGAUUAUACAUCUGGGGAAAGAAUUCCUGCAAAAUUAGUCCAGAAUAUUCUUACCAGAAAGCAAAGAAGUUAUCCAAGACUAAUAAAGAUGCAUCAAAGACUUUAGGAGCCAAUCUUGGAUUGAAAUUAAUUAAAUAGGCUCAUGAACAAACUUCUUAAUCACCACUGGAAGGUUAUAAAGAGCAGAUUUGAUAUUUAAGUUGGUAAGUAAAGAGAGAAAUUCAAGCAUCCUGCCUAUUUAAAAACAACUAAUUUAUCUUAGAAUAACUAAUUGCUGUUGUAAAGAUAUCCUCUAGUUAAAGUACUAAAUUCCAAUUAGUCAAUGAAGAUGGAUUUA
rnacentral:lncRNA from 1 species